GGGCACUUGGUCUAGGGGUAUGAUGUGAGUUUCACCCACCUGACCUACCGCUUGUUCAAUGCUUAUUUGUUAGUUUCGCUUCGCAUCAACUCAUAGUGUGAUUGUGAAAGGUCGUGGGUUCAAUUCCCACAGUGUCCA